CCUGUCUCAAAAUAAUAGUAAAAAAUGGGUUAGGGAUGUAUUCCACUGGGAGAGCUUUUGCCUGGUGUAUGUGGGGCUCUGGGUUUGAUCUCUAAAAUUGAAAGACAUGUUUUCAGUAAUAAUGUUUGUGUGUUGUCUUCGUUCUUUUUGCCCCUCCAAUGCUUUAGGAUAUUGAACAGCCAUCUCGGCAGCAGAGCUGGUUCCUACACAAACAGGAGUACCAGAAAACUCUGAAGCGUCUCAUGCGAUAACAAAGAUAUGUUGUCUAGAAAAACGUGACCGUUAAGGGAGAAGGAAGAUGUCAUGACUCAAUGCAAGAGCAUAGUACGAUCGAGAGGCAGUUUCUUUCCACUUCUUGACCAUCAUGCAAAACACUGGACAGAGCUGAGAAAUGAAGGCCUCCUGGAUACUUGGGAACAAGGGUCAGAAAGAAUGCAGAGAGGAUAGAAGGCAAGGCAUCCAGGGCCUAUUUCUGGAGGUGCCCUGGCUCUGAAAUGAAGGAGCCAAGGAGGAUCCGCUCUACUUUCGUUCUUCCUGCUGAGAACCACAGACUGGGAGCCCACUUGGCCCCAUGAGGCAGCACAAUGCAGGGGAGAUGAACUUGAGUCACCGUGACAACUGUCCCUGAGGUGGGAAAUAUCAGCUGUAUACUCAUGAUGUCCUGAAUCAGAGGCGUGGAUACCUUACAGCCUGGACACACCUGCACCUAUGUGUUCAGAAGCUUGAAAGCUUCCUGCAUUGAUGAAGUUUGGAUGGACUGCUCAGACGCACUGACCCAGGAAGGAGAGGAGCUGGCUGUGGCAGGCGCUGGAG
rnacentral:lncRNA from 1 species